rnacentral:lncRNA from 1 species
CUUCUUGGAGAAGUGAGCCGAGCCGUGCAGCGCCGCGAAGGGGUAAGUUGCAAGCACUGGGGGCAGCCUGUUCUGGGAGCAUCCCCGAAGACCGGGAGGAACGCCGCGGGGACCUGUGGCUUAGCGCGCUCCGCCCGGGCUUGUCUGCCCGCGGGGGCGCAGCGGCUGAGGCGGCUCCGGGCCGGAGUUCCAAUCAAGCGCCACCCAACUCCCAGUCGGGGGCCGAGGCCAGCGCCGGGAUGCCAGCUUCCCCCAAAAAGAUCCUGCCUCAGGGAAAUGCAUGGAGCCGGCGGAAAAGCCCGCGGCGCCCCCGGCGGAUCGCAGACCCUAAGGGGGCGGGAGGUGGCGCCCCAGUCCCAACCUCUUGAGCCAACCCAGUGGGUGGGAAGUGCCCUUACCCUAGGCCUUCCGCAAAGUGUUCUCUCCUUGUAUUAUUCUAAUUACGGUAUUUUUAAUUUCCUUAAAAAAAUAAGAAACAGAAAAGCACAGAACGCACUUGUUUGGUUUCAUUUUGCCUUCACAGCUUUAAUGACUCUAUUUGUGGAAGCUGUUUAGGAAACUGGUGAGGAGGAGAAGGAGGAGGACGCCAAGAGAAGCGCCAGCUCUGGCCUGAGCGCCG